AUUUUUUUUUUUUUAUUGGGGUAGCCCCCAAAAUAUUGGGACAUUUGAAAAAAGACAACACUGUUACGCAGAGUAGCUGUUGACAUUAUAGUUCUGCAGGCAGUUUGUUGACUCUAGAGAACCUCAGGCCAAUCGCACAUCCCCGUGAUGGCGACUUUGCAUGCGGAUGUCAUCUAUAUCAACUUUCGAUGCCAGUUUCUGCGCCUGCCAUGGUGACCACGGGUAACAGGGAAUCAGGGUUCCAUUCCGUACAGGGACCCUGAGAAAUGGCUACCACAUGCAAGGAAGGCAGCAGGCGCGUAAAUGACCCACUCCCAACGCGGGAAGGUAGUGACAACAAAUAACAAUACAGGACUCUUUAGAGGCUCAAAAUUAAAAAAAAAA